GACGAACGCUGGCGGCGCGCCUAACACAUGCAAGUCGAACGAGCGAGAGAGAGCUUGCUUUCUUGAGCGAGUGGCGAACGGGUGAGUAACGCGUGAGGAACCUGCCUCAAAGAGGGGGACAACAGUUGGAAACGACUGCUAAUACCGCAUAAGCCCACGGGGCCCCAUGGCACAGAGGGAAAAGGAGCAAUCCGCUUUGAGAUGGUCUCGCGUCCGAUUAUCUAGAUGGUGAGGUAACGGCCCACCAAGGCGACGAGAGGUAGCCGGACCGAGAAGUUGAACGGGCACCAUAGGACUGAGACACGGACCAGUCUGCUACGGGGGGCAGCAGUGGGGAAUAUUACACAAUGGGGGAAACCCUGAUGCAGCGGCGCCGCGUGGAGGAAGAAGGUCUUCGGAUUGUAAACUCCUGUUGUUGGGGAAGAUAAUGACGGUACCCAACAAGGAAGUGACGGCUAACUACGUG
rnacentral:rRNA from 1 species